UUUUUUUUUGGCUGCACCUGCAGCAUGCAGAAGUUCUGGGGCCAGGAAUCAAACCCAUGACAGGGCAGCAACCCAAGCCACAGCAGUGACAAUGCUGGAUCUUUAACCCUUUGAGCCACCAGGGAACUCCUAAUAUGUCUUUUUAUAUAAGGCAGGAGGGGGGGUCUCAGCCAAGAACUUAGAAGGGUAGAAGGAAAAUUAUUUUCCUUUCCCUGGAGCAUUUUUAGGCAUGGUCAGGUAAGAAAGUUGAGGAGGGACAAGACCUGAAGGCUAUAGUCAGAAAAAAAAAAAAAAAAUAAGAUGAGACUAACAACAACUCAAAAAAACCAAAAAAACAAAAAAGCAAAAAAAACAAAACCCAGUUAAAUAUCUGUCUUAAGUUCUGUUAGGAAAAUCAGAAGGACCCUGGAAAGUAAUCCUUCUCAAAGUGGGGAGACAAUAUCCACAGUUAUUCACAGAAUCCCCCCUCCUUUUUCUGGCUUGAUCAUUUUACUCUCAAGGCGCAAGGAUACAGGAACCUAAUUACAGAAGCUUCUGCCUCCCGCUCUCCUGCCAUCUUUACAUAUUUUCAUUAAUCUCUGAGACGCUCACUCCCUAGUCAACUCAAAAAGUGGCUCAUCUGUAGUUAAAAGGGAAAGUUAAUUAGAAUCUGGAGCUUCUUUCUUUUGCCAAUUCCCAAGCAUAGACCAAAAAAGUCUGCCUUAACUGAGGCUUUUAGAGUUUGUGACCUGGAGGUGGGGAUGGGGGCGUGGGGGAUUUAAAAAAAUAAUUAAAAAACAGAUUUAAAAAAGGAUGCUCGUGUCUGCAAGCCUCAUUCUUUCGAGUGUCAACCUCAGAAGCAUCGUGGUUGCAAAGAAUCUCCCAGCAAAAUGUAAGGAGCACCAGCCCUGGAGUUAGAUCUGGAUUUGGGUGAGUUUUCUCAUUUCUCCACAGCUGUUUCCUCCUCUGUAAAAAGAACAGACAAGAGUUUCUGCUGUGCCGCAGCGGAGGCAAAUCUGACUAGUGACCAUGAGGUUUCGGGUUCAAUCCCUGGCCUCACUCAGUGGGUUGAGGAUCCAGUGUUGCCAUGAGCUGUGAUGUAGGUUGCAGAUGUAGGGGCUUUGCAUCUCGAGUGGAGGUGAGGCACCUGGUUAUACCCUGCAUCCACCACGGUUUCCUGGGAGUCUUAGGUCUCCAAUUCCAGCAUGUGAUCCUUGUGGGCGAACAGCACGUCUUAGACUUUUUUAUACACUUUAGAGGAGAAAAACUAUUCCUCUGUGUGGAAAAGGUCAAUUGUGAGUUUUCGUUCCGAAAAAAAAAAAAUGAGAGGAAGGGGAUACAUUGAGUGCCUGGAACAACAGGGGGUUGUGUGAGUCCCACGUCAAGGCUUACGCAAGAUACCCUGGGGGCUCGAAGAACCCAUCUUCUAGAAUGUCCUCGUGAAACCUCUAGAUGUGUCGGGAAAAGCCAUUGAGGGUAAGAAAAUUCAAAACUGGGAACUUUUUUAAAGUUGAGCCACAACUUGAAGAAGGUAAAAAGAAUGAAUCAGGCAACAUUAAUCGUAUUUACAGAGCUGCAGCUUAAAGAUCAUUUUGUUAAGACGGGGGCAAGGGGCUUGCCUGAGUCAAUCAGACCCACAGCAGUCAGUGCCUGAGAGAUACCGAAAUGGACAGCAGCAGAGGGAACAGCAGCUCACAUUUUCUGGCCGGUCCAACAUGGCUGUCCUCAUGCUAAAGGCUUUUAUGUUUAUCAUGAAGAUUUAAAACAUGGCAGCCAACUUGCACAGGGAAUGUCUCCUCCCCUUAAAUCUAGGUGGGCUUGUGACUUCCUUGACCAAGAGAGUAGAGCGGGAGUGAUGAUAAGGGACUUGAGAGUUGAGGUCAUAAAAGGUCAUACAGCUUCCAUCUGGCUUUGGAACUUGGAGCUCUGAGCAUCAGGAGCUCUGAGAUCAGAAAGCAUCUGUGACUACUCAGAACCGCCAUGCUGGGAGGAAGCCCAAGCCAGAAACACAAGCCACUGCAGGCACUCGGGUUGACAGUCCCAUCUGAGCCCAGCCUUUGAGUCUUCCUGCCCAGGCAAGCAGACAAGUGAAGAAACCUCCAGGCGAUUCCAACCCCCCCACCCUGAUGGUCAAGUAAGCAGCUCGAUGGGGGCCCCCAUCCCCGGAGCAGAGAACACGCUAAGGGCUCAGAGAGGCUAGCCAAUGCCUCGGGAGCCAAGGUGUGGGGUACUCAAUGCCAGCGCCCCCACGCAGUGAAAAGGGGUCUGUGGGCUAAUCUUACAGGGUCUCGAGCCACCUGGAGCCCAACAUGUGGGGCCUGGACACGGCCCUGACGUCCCCUCCCCAACAGAGCAUUCCACCUGCCCAUGACCUACCGCUCUCCUGGACUCGAUUUCCCACCUGUCCGAGCCAAGGCCCUUCACGCAGAAGGGGGGCCACAAAAGCCACAGGCUGCCACUGCCCAAUGGAUCAGCGGCCUCUGCGAAUGAGCCGAUCUUACAGUCCCCCUGGAGCAGUGAAUUCAGGGCAAAGAAACGGACUUCAAUGGCCCAGAGUACACUUGCACAUUGUAUGAAAGAGGCAGCCAAGAGCGGAAAUAGAAACAGCUUCAAAGCAGACUUGGAACCUGUGGUCGGACAAGGGUGUCUCAUGUGGGCCUUGGGGGCUCGGACUCAUCCAUCCUUCUCCAGCCUUUUGAGCUUGGUUUCGGGAGUCGGAACCUCCCAAUGCGGAGAAGCCGGAGGUUGGACCCAAAGAGCUCUCGGUGCACCCUCCCAGAGCUUAGGAUGAACCUGGGAGCACCCAAGAGCCCAAAGAAAGUAUAUGCUAAAAUGCGGGAGCCUUUUUCUGGGGGGAAGGUCUGUUACUUUUCAGCGGAUUUUCAAAAGGACUGAAAAUCUGAAAAUGGUGAGAAAGCAUUGAGUGGUAGAAUCUAGGGUAGGUGGACGGUCUUGCUUUCCCUUUGGCAGAUCUGUAUUUUGCACAAAUUUCAUAGCUAGUGUCUAUUGAUUCUAUACAAUUGAGUACAUAUAGUAUGUAGACAUACACUCAUAAAACAUAUAGCACAUGUAUUAAAAACACGUGCAUGCCUGGAGUUUCCCAGUGGGUUCGAGAUCUGGCGAGAUCUGGCAUUGUCACUGCUGUGAUGUGGGUUCAGUCCCUGGCCCGGGAACUUUUGCAUGCCAUGUGCACAGCCAAAACAAAACAGAACAUGUGCGUGCAAAAUCUAGGAAAAUCACAACCGACGAGGCCUGGAAGAUGUGGGCUACCCUCAUCUCGAGACCCCCAAAUAAUAUCUUUUAAAACUGCAAACUCUACUUCCUCUCUUCUGUCCUGACCACCCCCCAAAUCACUUACACACACACACACACACACACACACACACACACACGCACACACGCACACACGCACACACGCACACGCACAUGCACAAUGGAGAUGCGUCCCCCUCACAAAGCUCUGAGCUCCUUGGCAGUCUACUCCAUUCUCCUGGGUACCCCCUGCUCAGGCUCAGCCCCCAGGCUCCUUCCCCACCUGGCCAGGGGCUUUCACGGCCACCUUCUCUCCUGUGGUCCAGAAAGCCCAGCCGGGCAGAUAACCUAUAACCCUGGGGGACAAGGCCAUCAUUAAGUCUGUCUCUCCUUGGCAGGUGUCCCAUGCCUCCUCCUUCCACGCCAGGUCUCCAGGCUGCCUCUGCUCUGGGAGCCUCCAGGAUAAGUUUAGAACCACCGCCUCUUCUUCCGCUAGGAGGCCCGCCUUUGGGGCUACGGCAAGAGCCACCGUGACCAAGCACCUGCCAUGAACUUGCACCUUUUAGGUGUCUCAUGUCCAUGUUCACAUGUAAUCAUCCCAACAAGCCCCUAAGGCAGGCCCCCUGCUUCACAGAGGAGGAGAGCGAGGCUCAAGGAGGUUACAGCUGCACAGCCAGCGAUGGCAGAGGCAGAGGGGAACCCAGGUUGACUCCCAAGACUGCUUUUACCACUGUACACACUGCCUCUCCUGGGUCAGUGCAAAGGAACCAGGUCUGGGCCACUGGCCAAGAAGACACUUGAGUCCUGUUGCCCUGACGGUGUCACCCAUUAGCUUGAGGACAUUUAGGUGGACUUCCCGCAAAAGGUUCAAGAGUUGGGCAAGAAGGCAAUUGAGAAUUCACAGAGCCCAGGCCCUGCUUCCCCUGGACAGAGGGGGAGAAUGGGCACCGCCUGGGCAGCCUGGGGCUGGACUGGGUACCAGUAGCUGCACCUUCCUGGCACUUCUCUCUGUAGAGGAAAGGAAUCCAGGAAGCCAAUUCCACCAGAGACAAAGGACUAGCAAAAACAGAAAGGCUGCCCAGACCCCCGUUAAGUCCUGGAGACAGAGGAGACAGGUGAGAAUGGGGUAGGGAAGCCCCCCCUGCAUAGCCAAGGGAUUCCCAGAGGCCUCGCCCCUCCUCCCACCUGGGAUCCAGAUCCUCUGCCCCAACUCCAUGCUUCCUCCUGGGAAACAAGUGGCCACGUUUAGAGACAUCACAGGACAGGGAUCAGGGAUGGACUCUGACACUUCCUAGCUG
rnacentral:lncRNA from 1 species